AUUGAACGCUGGCGGCAGGCCUAACACAUGCAAGUCGAGCGCGCGGCGGACGGGUGAGUAUUGUCUGUGAAACUGCCUGAUGGAGGGGGAUAACUACUGGAAACGGUAUCUAAUACCGCAUACCAUCAGAUGUGCCCCGAUGGGAGUUGCUGGAAGGUGGGGUAACGGAUCACCUAGGCGACGCUCCCUAGCUGGUCUGAGAGGAUGACCAGCCACACUGGAACUGAGACACGGUCCAGACUCCUACGGGAGGCAGCAGUGGGGAAUAUUGCACAAUGGGCGCAAGCCUGAUGCAGCCAUGCCGCGUGUGUGAAGAAGGCCUUCGGGUUGUAAAGCACUUUCAGCGGGGAGGCGUUACCCGCAGAAGAAGCACCGGCUAACUCCGUGCCAGCAGCCGCGGUAAUAC
rnacentral:rRNA from 1 species